rnacentral:rRNA from 1 species
AGUGAACGCUGGCGGUAGGCCUAACACAUGCAAGUCGAACGGCAGCACAGUAAGAGCUUGCUCUUACGGGUGGCGAGUGGCGGACGGGUGAGGAAUACAUCGGAAUCUACUUUUUCGUGGGGGAUAACGUAGGGAAACUUACGCUAAUACCGCAUACGACCUACGGGUGAAAGCAGGGGAUCUUCGGACCUUGCGCGAUUGAAUGAGCCGAUGUCGGAUUAGCUAGUUGGCGGGGUAAAGGCCCACCAAGGCGACGAUCCGUAGCUGGUCUGAGAGGAUGAUCAGCAACACGGGAACUGAGACACGGUCCAGACUCCUACGGGAGGCAGCAGUGGGGAAUAUUGGACAAUGGGCGCAAGCCUGAUCCAGCCAUACCGCGUGGGUGAAGAAGGCCUUCGGGUUGUAAAGCCCUUUUGUUGGGAAAGAAAAGCAGCAGGUUAAUACCCCGCUGUUCUGACGGUACCCAAAGAAUAAGCACCGGCUAACUUCGUG